rnacentral:sRNA from 1 species
UGGUCUGCCAUUAAGCAUGGUUUGCACAAACAUGUACUCCAUACCUCACCAGAACUGCAUAAGCAUAUUUCUAUAUCACUAAACAGUUUUGAUAAGUUGUCUUCAUCCUCAACUUUUGGGUACGAGUCAGAGACAUCAUUUCCUAAGGUGCUUGGAGACAUUAUAGAGUCUUUGGCUGGAGCGAUUCUAGUUGAUUCAGGAUACAAUAAAGAGGUUGUGUGGGAAAGCAUAAGGCCACUUUUGGAACCUCUUGUCACACCAGAUACAUUGAAGCUCCACCCCAUCAGAGAGUUGCAAGAAUUGAUACAAAAAAGAAAUUAUAAUAUUAUACAAAAGGAUGUGAAGCGAAAAGAUGGAGUGACCACUUAUAUAAUGGAGGUAGAAGCUGAUGGAAUCAUUCAUCACUAUGAAUAUCUCG